rnacentral:rRNA from 1 species
GUCCCAGCCGCCGCGGUAAUACGGAGGGUGCAAGCGUUAAUCGGAAUUACUGGGCGUAAAGCGCGCGUAGGUGGUUGAGUAAGCGAGAUGUGAAAGCCCCGGGCUUGACCUGGGAACGGCAUUUCGAACUGCUCGGCUAGAGUGUGGUAGAGGGUAGUGGAAUUUCCUGUGUAGCGGUGAAAUGCGUAGAUAUAGGAAGGAACACCAGUGGCGAAGGCGGCUACCUGGACCAACACUGACACUGAGGUGCGAAAGCGUGGGGAGCAAACAGGAUUAGAUACCCUGGUAGUCCACGCCGUAAACGAUGUCAACUAGCCGUUGGGGAUCUUGAAUCCUUAGUGGCGCAGCUAACGCACUAAGUUGACCGCCUGGGGAGUACGGCCGCAAGGCUAAAACUCAAAUGAAUCGACGGGGGCCCGCACAAGCGGUGGAGCAUGUGGUUUAAUUCGACGCAACGCGAAGAACCUUACCUGGCCUUGACAUGCAGAGAACUUUCCAGAGAUGGAUUGGUGCCUUCGGGAACUCUGACACAGGUGCUGCAUGGCCGUCGUCAGCUCGUGUCGUGAGAUGUUGGGUUAAGUCCCGUAACGAGCGCAACCCCUAUCCUUGGUUGCUAGCAGGUAAUGCUGAGAACUCCAGGGAGACUGCCGGUGACAAACCGGAGGAAGGUGGGGAUGACGUCAGGUCAUCAUGGCCCUUACGGCCAGGGCUACACACGUGCUACAAUGGCGUAUACAGAGGGCUGCCAACUCGCGAGAGUGAGCCAAUCCCUUAAAGUGCGUCGUAGUCCGGAUCGCAGUCUGCAACUCGACUGCGUGAAGUCGGAAUCGCUAGUAAUCGCGAAUCAGAAUGUCGCGGUGAAUACGUUCCCGGGCCUUGUACACACCGCCCGUCACACCAUGGGAGUGGAUUGCACCAGAAGUGGUUAGUCUAACCUUCGGGAGGACGAUCACCACGGUGUGGUUCAUGACUGGGGUGAAGUCGUAACAAGGUAACC